rnacentral:tmRNA from 1 species
GGGGUCGACAUUGGAUUUGACAGCGAUAGCGGCAGUCAGGUGUCAGCAUGCAGAGGGUUGUGGUGAACCUCUAUAAUAUCUUGUCACGAACAAUAAAUGACAAUACGUCAUACGCACUUGCUGCUUAAUUAACGGAAUGUUAGUUGGCUUAAUUCAACUGAAGCACAGUAGGUUGAACAAGUACCUUCGGUAGGCGACGGCCCGUUUUGCUUACCCAUCGAAGGUUCAUCCCAUCGGGCUGGUAAACGUGAGGCUACUAAGCGGUUACGAGAACUCAGUGGCUAAGUUCAAGACCGGGUGUUCCUGUCCACUCUUGGAUCGAAAACUAACCAGGAAAUAAGCAUGUAGAAAGCUUGAAUUCCCAUUGUUUGGACGAGGGUUCGAACCCCUCCGACUCCACUC